GCUUGGUACAAACGUAAAGAAAAUAAGAUAUAGUCCCAGAACCAGUGAAAGAAAAGGAACAAAGAAAAAAACAAGUGUUCCCUUUUGAGGACUAGGAAGUCUCUUCGUAGUCUGACUGCCAUACCCCAGGUCUUACAUCUCAAGGACAAGAGUAAUGUUUGUGAAUCUGAUUGUCUCUGAGUCAAUCAGGAAAAGCAAAAGAAAAUGAAGGAAGGUGACUGAGUCCUCACAUAAAAUGGGGAAAAGCCAAAAGCAGACUCCUCAUAAACAUCAAACCCAAAGCAGGACCGAGAGAUUCUCAUUUAUUAGCAAUAAAGAAACCACAAUAUUUUAUGUGGGUUAACUCAUCCAUAGGUUCUUUGCUUAUGGAUAUCAAACUAGUUCAUGUCUCUGUUAUAAGUGUUUAUGUGUGUGUGUGUGUGUGUGUG